ensembl:lncRNA
GGAGCUACAGUGGUCCCUAGAGGUGACACCCACCAACCACUGGCACACUGCCUUAGGCUGUGUGUGAAUUUGUAUACCAAAUCUUUAACAUUCUAACUACAUAUCACAUACUUGAGCUUAAUUACAAAUUAUUUACUUCAAAUCCAAAUCCAAAAUUACCCAAGGUGUAAAGUCCUCAUCUUGUACACAUGCUUUGAAAGGAACAUAUAUUGAGUUAUUUUAAAGCGAUGCCCUACAAAUGACAUUGCUAGUUUCAAAAUCCCUUUAGAUCUUUAAGAAACCUGUGAAAAUUACCUUACUGAAGCUGCUGAAGUUAAUUUUCUUUCCUCAUCAUGACACUAUAAUAAAAAUGUUUUUAAUACUUUUCCUUUUGGUGGUGCUUUAAGCUCUAUUAUACUACUUUAUGCCAAAAUUAUGUGAUUUUGUUUUAAGCUUUGUAUUCUGUAUCCAUUUAAAAGUUAAAUACACAAAAAUAAAACAAAUACAUUUUACCGGUGUCUGGAGUGUGUGGGCAUUUCUCUACAGUGCGGCACUUGUUUCAAAAACCAUCUGGAAUCUGCUACCAAAUACACAUACAAAACACUUAAAAAAUAUUAAUUACUCAAUGCCACAUAUUAAGCACUUUACAACUGACAAUCUAGCUACUGCAAAUCCCUGGGAAUUAAGUGUUUUGUAAUAAAACUUGCAAAACCAGCAUGACACAACUUACUAACAAAUAAAUGAAAGAGAGUGUGUAUCAUUUGAUUCCUUUAUUUUUUUGCAAUUAUUUCUAACAGCUGAAGAAAUCUUUCCUCUCUCUCUUUUGUCUCCCUUUCUCUCUCUCUCACUUCUCGGUCUCUUCUUUCUUCUCUUUCUCUGGCCUCCUGUUCUAGUCUCUUCUCAUGCUCUCGUCACUCUUUUUCUUUUCUUUCCUCCUUUUCCUCCAUCUCUCUCCAUCGCCUCUCCUCCCUUUCAAUGGCAUCUCUUUCUCUUUCAGCUUCCCUCUCCUCCAUCUCUCGGAUCAGCUCCUCAAAAUCGUUCCUUUUCCUCCCUACUCUUUCACGUUCUGACCUCACUGAGGAUGGAGGGUCUGCCCCCUAUUGCCUCAUCCAUGGCAGAAUACCAUUUCCAGGAUGCUGCUGUAACCCCCCCAUCCUCAGUGCUCACCCCAGUCUGUGGACAUUUCAGAUCCUACAAAUAUUUGAAAACAGAAUAUCAAGACAGUCAAUUACAUUGUAAAACAUAUGAUUUGUUAAAUGAUCGCAUUACAGGGCCAAACAUGAGCAUGAUUCAAUCAUGACAGAAUUCUCAUUUUAGGUUGAACUACAAUAAUAAUAAAAAAAAUCUUACUUUAUAUUUUUGUUUAAGG